rnacentral:rRNA from 1 species
GAAAAUAAGAGCGUAUGGUGGAUGCCUAGGGUUUCGAAGACGAUGAAGGACGUGGCGUGACUGCGAUAAGCAUCGGGGAGGUGUCGAGCAACCUUUGAUCCGGUGAUUUCCGAAUGGGGUAACCUAAUUCGAGUAAUGUCGAAUUGCUUUCCGAGUAACUUCGGACUGCGUGCACCUGGGGAAGUGAAACAUCUCAGUACCCAGAGGAAAAGAAAACAAUCCCGCGGAAUGCGGGACAUUCCCUAAGUAGCGGCGAGCGAAAGGGGAAAAGCCCAAACCUCGCUUCACUAUUCAGGAAUUUAUUUUUGAUUAGUGGGCGGGGGGUAGUAAGAAAAAGACUUUCCGGAGCGUAUAGCUAUGUUCCUGGAAGGGAGUUUAGAAAUAUAGAAGUUGUUUAGGGGAACGGCCCUGGAAAGGCCGGCCAAAGAGGGUAAUAGCCCCGUACUUAAAAAACCUUUUAUGCUCCUUGUCUUUUUUCUUGAGUACUUCGAGAACAAGAUAAGCUCGGAGGAAACAGGGAGAACUACUCUCCUAAGGCUAAAUACUUCGAAACACCGAUAGUGAACUAGUACCGUGAGGAAAAGGAGAAAAGAACCCCGGGAGGGGAGUGAAAUAGAUCCUGAAACCGUGUGCUUACAAA